UAGUCCACGCCGUAAACGAUGAUCACUCGUUGUUGGCGAUAUAAAGUCAGCGACCAAGUGAAAGUGUUAAGUGAUCCACCUGGGGAGUACGCCCGCAAGGGUGAAACUCAAAGGAAUUGACGGGGGCCCGCACAAGCGGUGGAACAUGUGGUUUAAUUCGAUGAUACGCGAGGAACCUUACCUGGGCUUAAAUGUAGACCGAUUUUACGGGAAACCGUAUUUCCCUUCGGGGCGUUUUACAAGGUGCUGCAUGGUUGUCGUCAGCUCGUGCCGUGAGGUGUCGGGUUAAGUCCCAUAACGAGCGCAACCCUUAUCGUUAGUUGCCAGCGGGUCAUGCCGGGGACUCUAACGAAACUGCCGGUGUAAACCGAGAGGAAGGUGGGGAUGACGUCAAAGUCAGCACGGCCCUUAAUGUCCAGGGCUACACACGUGUUACAAUGGUUGGUACAGAGGGCAGCUACCGGGCAACCGGGUGCCAAUCUCGAAAGCCAAUCUCAGUUCGGAUUGGAGUCUGCAACUCGACUCCAUGAAG
rnacentral:rRNA from 1 species